rnacentral:rRNA from 1 species
GAUGAACGCUGGCGGCGUGCCUAACACAUGCAAGUCGAACGGAGAUCAUUAAGCGGAGACUUCGGUUAAAACUUUUUAAUCUUAGUGGCGGACGGGUGAGUAACGCGUGGGUAACCUGCCUUAUACAGGGGGAUAACAAUCAGAAAUGAUUGCUAAUACCGCAUAAGCGCACAUGACCGCAUCGGUCAAGUGUGAAAAACUCCGGUGGUAUAAGAUGGACCCGCGUUGGAUUAGCUAGUUGGUGAGGUAGAGGCUCACCAAGGCGACGAUCCAUAGCCGGCCUGAGAGGGUGAACGGCCACAUUGGGACUGAGACACGGCCCAG